GUUUGAGUUAAUCUGUUAUAUGUUAGUGGUUUCUUUAGGAUUUUUGUUAUAUAAUUUUUUUAAUUUCAUUUAUUGAUGUUUGGAUUUGUGAAGUUUUGAAACCUAGAUGUUUGCGUUUGAUUUGGUUAUUAUUCCGGAAAUUAAGCGAGUUCAGAGAAUAGGUAGUAGAGGUAGUGGUGGUCUUGGUGGUAAUAGUGUUAAUCAGAGAAGAUCUUCUCGACAAAAACAUGUUUCUUACCAGGAAGAUGGAUGCCAUUCAAAUUGAUGGAAACAUUGACCCUGUUGAAGAUGUCGAGGAUUCCAUAUUUUGCUUACAUUCAUAUUUUAAAUCCAUACUAUCGGUUUAUUUUGUUUUUACAUAGUUGAUAAAUCUAAGUCUACAUUAAAAAAGUCACAUGGAUUAAUAUAUGAAACUGGGUGAUUUUUGUGAAGAAAGCUAGCUAUUAUUAAACAUAGGGAUGAGCUCGGUACUAACCAGUACCGAACUGGUACCGUUAACAAAAAUACCGGUUCUAAAAUCCAUAAAAAUGGGUACCGGUACCGAAAAUACACGGUGCGGUUCGGUACCAUGCCGAACCGUACGGUUUGGUAUGGGAAAUUCGGUAGAUGAAA